AGGAUGAACGCUGGCGGCGCGCCUAACACAUGCAAGUCGAACGGCACCCCUCUCCGGAGGGAAGCGAGUGGCGAACGGCUGAGUAACACGUGGAGAACCUGCCCCCUCCCCCGGGAUAGCCGCCCGAAAGGACGGGUAAUACCGGAUACCCCGGGGUGCCGCAUGGCGCCCCGGCUAAAGCCCCGACGGGAGGGGAUGGCUCCGCGGCCCAUCAGGUAGACGGCGGGGUGACGGCCCACCGUGCCGACAACGGGUAGCCGGGUUGAGAGACCGACCGGCCAGAUUGGGACUGAGACACGGCCCAGACUCCUACGGGAGGCAGCAGUGGGGAAUCUUGCGCAAUGGGGGGAACCCUGACGCAGCGACGCCGCGUGCGGGACGGAGGCCUUCGGGUCGUAAACCGCUUUCAGCAGGGAAGAGUCAAGACUGUACCUGCAGAAGAAGCCCCGGCUAACUACGUGCCAGCAGCCGCGGUAAUACGUAGGGGGCGAGCGUUAUCCG
rnacentral:misc_RNA from 1 species